AGUAUUACUCACUUGCUUAGAAGCUUUCAUUUGCAAUGCGUUUCACAAAAUAAUAAUGUACAAAUCAAAAAUACAGUAUUUCACAUUUCACUUUUCCAGUAAUGUUGUUAAGUGCCCACUAUGCAACUUCGGUUAUUUCUUCGCUGUUUUCUUGGUUUUGGCACGCACAUUUCUCUACACAACGCCCCCUACAGCUUCGUAGUAGAUAUUUCACAACACUGUCGUAACAACUCGUUGACGACCCUUCCCCAUGCACUUCUAUGCGAGCCAUGUGCAUUUGUUUUCAAAGAAGCCGGCGAAUGCGUGGAGCCAUGUCCGAAGUAGAUGUUCAUAAAGUGUAGGCAAGGUUAUACAUUUUUAAAAGGGUGUAUUUGUAUUGCAAUAAACAUAAAUCCAUCCUUUUUUAUAGUUGACGGGGAGAAUUUAUAUCCUAGAUUAUAAUUGUUUUAUCUUAGGUUGAACAGAACAAUCAGUGUAAGAGGUUUGGCCAACAUAAUAAUCUAAAUAAACAAGAACCUGGAUUCGGGGAUUCAGUCUGUGUCUGGGGGACGAGACAGACGAACAGCAAAACACCAAUGGAAACAAAGGUGUUUAUAUGGUUGCAACCAAGCAAGCUAGAAACAUACAGGGCUCA